rnacentral:tRNA from 1 species
GGGAGGAUGGCCGAGCGGUUAUGGCGUGUGACUCAAGUUUCCUACUUGGACUGAAAAUCAGCCCUUCUCAUGGGAUUUUCCCGCGUGGGUUCGAAUCCCACUCCUCUCA